rnacentral:misc_RNA from 1 species
AAGUCGUAACAAGGUUUCCGUAGGUGAACCUGCGGAAGGAUCAUUAUCAAAUUAUCCGAAACUUUUUUUUUAAUGUUUUCAUUAACAUUAAAAAAAAAUAUCAACCAACCGUGAACUGUUUUGCCUCCAAUGAGGGAGAGAGCGUGCGGGGUAACACUUGCACUAGUAUCUUUCUGAUUGGUUGUAUUUUAUAUAUAUUAAUUUAUAUUAUAUUAACCCUUCUAACAAAAACUUUUAAACUUAAUUUUUGAACUGAAUUAAUUUUCUUUUUUCCUAUUCAUUUAGGGAAAACUAAAAUAAAAUACGAAAAAUUAAUUGAACAACUCUUAGCAACGGAUAUCUUGGUUCUC